rnacentral:rRNA from 1 species
AGGACGAACGCUGGCGGCGUGCUUAACACAUGCAAGUCGAGCGGAAAGGCCCUUCGGGGUACUCGAGCGGCGAACGGGUGAGUAACACGUGAGUAAUCUGCCCCUAGCUCUGGGAUAGCUCCGGGAAACCGGGAUUAAUACCGGAUACGACCACCUUAGACAUCUUUUGUGGUGGAAAGAAUUUCGGCUAGGGAUGAGCUCGCGGCCUAUCAGCUUGUUGGUGGGGUAACGGCCUACCAAGGCGACGACGGGUAGCCGGCCUGAGAGGGCGACCGGCCACACUGGGACUGAGACACGGCCCAGACUCCUACGGGAGGCAGCAGUGGGAUAUUGCGCAAUGGGCGAAAGCCUGACGCAGCGACGCCGCGUGGGGAUGAAGGCCUUCGGGUUGUAAACCCCGUUUCAGCAGGGACGAAGCGAAAGUGACGGUACCUGCAGAAGAAGCGCCGGCUAACUACGCGCCAGCAGCCGC